rnacentral:rRNA from 1 species
UACGUAGGGGGCUAGCGUUGUCCGGAAUCAUUGGGCGUAAAGAGCGUGUAGGCGGUCCGGUAAGUCCGCUGUGAAAGUCGGGGGCUCAACCCUCGAAUGCCGGUGGAUACUGUCGGGCUAGAGUGCGGAAGAGGCGAGUGGGAUUCCUGGUGUAGCGGUGAAAUGCGCAGAUAUCAGGAGGAACACCUAUUGCGAAGGCAGCUCGCUGGGACGUAACUGACGCUGAGACGCGAAAGCGUGGGGAGCAAACAGG